rnacentral:tRNA from 6 species
GGGCCGCUAGCUCAGUGGUAGAGCUGCCGACUUUUAAUCGGAGUGUCCAGAGUUCGAUCCUCUGGCGGCCCA